rnacentral:rRNA from 1 species
AUCUACGGCCAUACCACCCUGAACACGCCCAAUCGCGUCUGAUCUCAGAAGCUAAGCAGGGUUGGGCCUGUUUAGUACUUGGAUGGGAGAGGAAGAAACACAAGAAAAAGCAGUAAACA